GGGAUAAGAAGCGCCGGCUAACUACGUGCCAGCAGCCGCGGUAAUACGUAGGGCGCGAGCGUUGUCCGGAAUUAUUGGGCGUAAAGAGCUCGUAGGCGGCUGGUCGCGUCUGUCGUGAAAUCCUCUGGCUUAACUGGGGGCUUGCGGUGGGUACGGGCCGGCUUGAGUGCGGUAGGGGAGACUGGAACUCCUGGUGUAGCGGUGGAAUGCGCAGAUAUCAGGAAGAACACCGGUGGCGAAGGCGGGUCUCUGGGCCGUUACUGACGCUGAGGAGCGAAAGCGUGGGGAGCGAACAGGAUUAGAUACCCUGGUAGUCCACGCCGUAAACGUUGGGCACUAGGUGUGGGAGGCCUUUUCCGGGUCUUCCGCGCCGUAGCUAACGCAUUAAGUGCCCCGCCUGGGGAGUACGGCCGCAAGGCUAAAACUCAAAGGAAUUGACGGGGGCCCGCACAAGCGGCGGAGCAUGCGGAUUAAUUCGAUGCAACGCGAAGAACCUUACCAAGGCUUGACAUGUGCCGGUCGGCUCCGGAGACGGGGUUUCCUCCUUGUGGGGCCGGUUCACAGGUGGUGC
rnacentral:rRNA from 1 species